rnacentral:rRNA from 1 species
AAAAACUCCGGUGGUAUGAGAUGGACCCGCGUCUGAUUAGCUGGUUGGUGAGGUAACGGCCCACCAAGGCGACGAUCAGUAGCCGACCUGAGAGGGUGGCCGGCCACAUUGGGACUGAGACACGGCCCAAACUCCUACGGGAGGCAGCAGUGGGGAAUAUUGCACAAUGGGGGAAACCCUGAUGCAGCAACGCCGCGUGAGUGAAGAAGUAUUUCGGUAUGUAAAGCUCUAUCAGCAGGGAGGAAGAAAGACGGUACCUGACUAAGAAGCCCCGGCUAACUACGUGCCAGCAGCCGCGGUAAUACGUAGGGGGCAAGCGUUAUCCGGAUUUACUGGGUGUAAAGGGAGCGUAGACGGCAUAGCAAGUCUGAAGUGAAAGCCCGUGGCUCAACCGCGGAACUGCUUUGGAAACUGUUAAGCUGGAGUACUGGAGAGGCAAGCGGAAUUCCUAGUGUAGCGGUGAAAUGCGUAGAUAUUAGGAGGAACACCAGUGGCGAAGGCGGCUUGCUGGACAGAGACUGACGUUGAGGCUCGAAAGCGUGGGGAGCAAACAGGAUUAGAUACCCUGGUAGUCCACGCGGUAAACGAUGAAUGCUAGGUGUUGGCGGGCAAAGCCCGUCG